rnacentral:sRNA from 1 species
AAAGGCGGCGACGACGAUGACGACGACGACAGCGGAAAGGGCAAGGGCGGAAAGGGCAAUAGCCGCAAGAAAAAUCGUCGUACUCUUACCCGUGGCGUUCCCAGCCACGGCCGCGUCUAAAAGGAGAUGUUGUCA